rnacentral:rRNA from 1 species
GACGAACGCUGGCGGCGUGCCUAAUACAUGCAAGUAGAACGCUUAAGAGAGGAGCUUGCUCUUCUUGGAUGAGUUGCGAACGGGUGAGUAACGCGUAGGUAACCUGCCUUGUAGCGGGGGAUAACUAUUGGAAACGAUAGCUAAUACCGCAUAACAAUAGGUGACACAUGUCAUUUAUUUGAAAGGGGCAAUUGCUCCACUACAAGAUGGACCUGCGUUGUAUUAGCUAGUAGGUGAGGUAACGGCUCACCUAGGCGACGAUACAUAGCCGACCUGAGAGGGUGAUCGGCCACACUGGGACUGAGACACGGCCCAGACUCCUACGGGAGGCAGCAGGAGGGAAUCUUCGGCAAUGGGGGCAACCCUGACCGAGCAACGCCGCGUGAGGGAAGAAGGGUUUCGGAUCGGAAAGCUCGGUUGUAAGUCAAGAACGAGUGUGAGAGUGGAAAGUUCACACUGUGACGGUAGCUUACCAGAAAGGGACGGCUAACUACGUG